CCGGCUCUCCUCCCGUUGGAUCCGCAGCGGGUUUUCCCCCGGGGGCGGGAAGAUCGGAUACCUUCGUGCGUUUUGUUAACCCCUUGUCCUUUCUUCUUCCUGUAGUGCGGGUCCGGUGCUCAGCUCGGUUGUACCCAAUUGUACACCAAAGUGCCUCUCUCUGUCUCGGGGUAGGUGCGAAUCGACUGUUGUCAACCCGCUGUGUGCGGACGUGGGGUUCUAUUUCCAUCCCUGCUCAGACGCGCCUCUGACAGGCCCGUCCCCUCUUGGCAACGAGAAAACUAAAUUUAACUCAGCUUCACCCGGUAAACAGUUCUGCCGGGCAUUUUUCGCCAGCAUCGCCUGGUUUAAAGCUUCGUCUUUCUCCGGUAAACACCCGGCCCCGGCCGGUGUGAGCGCCACAGCCUGGAGCUGGCCCCGGCUCCCCUCCAAACGCCGGCAGCCAGCCGCAGGGGACAGGCCGUGGCAGCCCUCUGUCCCGGCACGCGCCCCUGCACCUGCCCUGGGAACCGGCCGCUGGGGUAGUGCUCUGAGACGUCCGUGUCCGUGGCUGGCUGCAGGUUUGGGGGGGAGGGGGGGGUGGGGGGCUUCUCAUCCGGUUUUGGCUUCGCACGGUGACACUGGCCGUGGCACAUCUGAUGGUCUUUGAGUUUGGGGACCCCACAGACGCGCGCUGCCCGGCACCCUCCCGUUCCUGACUCCCUGCACGGAUGCGCCCGCAGCUUCUGCUUCUCAACUGACCGCGAGGAGGAGACACCUCUGCGGAAGCCCAGGGCCUCUCCAGACUUCGGGCAAGAUGACGUCAUAGCUAAUGGUGGGCGGGCUUCUUCACACACACACACACACACACACACACACACCCCAUCUCCCUUGCUGUCCCUUGUCACGCUUGACCGUCCCUGGGAGGAAAGGCAGGCAGCACACUGUCUGGAGUCACUGCCGGGACCACCUUCCUUGUGGAGCGUGAGUGUCUUUUCUUUCCCACGAUUUCUGUCCUCCCACUGGCCUCUGCGUCUCCUCCGGGGCACAGCUCUGAAAGCUUCGGGGGAAAGGUCGGGACGUCCUUGGGCGGCUUCCCACCUCAGAGCCUUUUUCUUCCCCCUGCCCCUGUUCUGGUCCUCGCCGAGCAAUCGUCCUACGACCCGGUUGCCCGGGACCGGGGCUGGAUGUGUGAGACAGAAGGAGCGGCCGUCCAGGGUUACGGCGUUCGGGGCAAGACUCCUGUUCCCUCAAAAAAGCCCGGCUGUUGAGACUGUUGGCUCCACACUUUCAUCAGCAGAGGGCCACACGCUGGAUGGACGGCUUGAAACAACAAAAUUCUUGCACGUCUGAAAUCAGGGUGUCUCGGGGCCGACCCUGGGGCGGGGUCCUCCCCAUCUCUCCCAGCUCCUGGCAGUGAAUCUUGGUGUCCCCAGGCCGACAGCUGCCUCUCCGUCUCUGCCCCCAUGUCACACGGCCUUCCUCCCUGUGCCUCUGCUCUGUCCUCUUAGAAGGACCGUCUCUGGGUUGGGGUUGGGGCCCACCCUGACCCAGGAGGAUCUCAUCUUUACUGACCACGUCUGCAGAGACCCUAUUUCUGAUAAGGUCUCACUCACAGGCUCCGGGGUGGACGUCUUUGGGGGACGCUCUCCAACCUGGUACCAGGUGGGAACGGCCCGUAUGCUGACAUCAUCACGGUCUCAGGAUCGGUAUGCCCUCUACUGCCGAGCAGGCUGGGCCCGGGGGGCAGGUGUAAUGUCUGUGGCUCGCUCACGUUUCUUAACCUGUACUCUCUACCUGAGCCACAAGCUCUGCCACAGCAACAUGUGUUUCAGAGGCCAGAAUGCGGUCUCACGGGCCUUGCUAAUCCCGCUCAUCCUGCCUCAGGGGAGACUUCCAGAACUUUCUCCCUCGAUUGCUGCUUUGUGGUCCCAGUCCGCGGUGGAAAAUCAGUAAGGGGCCCCUCACCCGCUUUCCAGAUCCCUUUUCAAGGAGACCACGAGACCGCGGUACGGAAGCGAACCGUUUCGUUUCUAGAGAUUUCAGCGGCACUCAGUGAUUCACACUGGUGUGCAGCCAGCGCCUCUCCCCGGUUGCGGAACGCUUUCGUUACCCGGAAGGCAACCCCGGGCUCGUUAAGCAGUGGCUUCCUGUUGCGCCCUCCCCCAGCCUUUGGCAACCACCGCUUUCUGUCGCCAUGGAUUCACCUGUUCCAGAAAUCUGAGGCCUUUUGUGUCUCAGUCUUGCAGGGUCUGCUGGUGUCAUGCCAGGUGUCAGAGCUCCGUGCCUUUCUCUGGCCGAACACCGUUCCGUGGUGCGGCUAGACCACAGAUUGUUGACCCACUCACUGCACGUCACGGACGGGCGUUGGGUGGUUUUCACCUCUCGGCCGUCGCGACGAAUGCUCGUGCGAACGUGCUCGUGCGUUUAUGUGUUUCCGUAUCUGUCUUCAGUUUUCCUGGGCACGUGUUCAGGAGUGGGAUUUCCGGGUCACGGGGCAAUUUUAUGUUUAGCUUUUUGAGGAAGCACCAAGCUGUUUUCCACGGUGACCGCGCCAUUCUACGUGCCCGCCAGAGCGCGCGAGGGCUCGUCUCUCCACAUCCUCGCGAACGCCUGUUGUUAUCUGUCUUGACUCUGGUCCUUCUGUGAAGUCGUGUCUCGUUGUGGUUUGGAUGCUGUGGUUCCCGUCACGGCUCCACGCGGGCGUCCGAUCCCUCAUGCAAGCUGUUGUAGCCAUGUGGUCCUUACCGCUCUGGAGUCCCCAGGCCCCCUGCCGCCCUGGUUGCGAAAGGACAGACGGAGGUGUCUCCUACUUCAGUUUUCCCAUAAUCACGUCCCUUCGCAACAAAGUGGUGAGCUUGGGAGACACCCAGGAGCCACCCUCAAGGCGCAGGCUCCUUACGAAAGACCAGACAAAGCCCGAUGGCAGAAAUGACACUUUUGUCCCCGCAAGGUCCCCCCGAUCCCUUAGCUCAAAGCGCGACCACGUUCUGGGUAAAAAAGAACCUAUUUUUAUUCUGAAGGCCCAGCCUGUCUUGCGUCUGCACUAUUUUCUCCCACGCUGUUCCACCAACAGAGCCCGUGCUCUCCCGCCCCUGCAGACAACUCACACACGUGAACACACAUCAGGAAAAGUCUCCAGAUCCCAAGACGGAUUCCAGCACUGUCUGUAAACCCCGCUCUCCAGGCCCACUUUUAUCUUGUUUUCAUUCCUAAGAGGCCCCGGGGCGUUUGGUUUUCAUCACUGACCCCCUGAAGGCCCGGCCAGCUCCCUGCAGAGAGCGCACGCGGCCGGGCUGGUGUCCCUUCCCGGAGCCUCAUUCCUUAGGUCUGGAAAGUUGGAGGCCCUUCUACAUUGUGUGGUUUAUGUCAAAUGUCUGAGCGCAUUCGAAGCAAACAGACAGCUUCAUCCGCUGGGAGGUUCCAAGGCGUAACUUGAAUUAUCAAGCUCUCGAGGGUGGUGGCCGUCUCCGUAAGUCGCUGGAGAGAGACAGAAGCAGGUUCUCAAGCUGACGAAAAAGGGGGUGAAGACAAGAGCCUCGGACAUGGACCAAGUACAAGGAGGGGGUGUCCUGGGUCCUGGAAGCACCCCACAUUGGCUUUUCCAAAGCUGCUGCCCGAGCCAGGCAUGCAACCGAUUUCCAUCUGGAAGGUGUCCUCCUGGCCAUCGGCAGCUUUGAGAGCCUUCUGAUGGGACAGACGGUUCCCAGGCUCUCCCUGGCAAAGAUGGAGGGAAGGUACCGGAUACCCAGGUCAGAGUGAACGCUUAUCACCUGUACAUUGGAGAGACAUACCCAGGGCAAGCGUGUUAGAUGCGCUAAGACAGAGCGCUGGAAAAGUACCCCAAUACCAGCCCUAGCAAGACUGGGUCGCUACCAGCACCCCUAAAAGCAGAGAAACGCUGUGGGGCCUCACGCCCCUGCCGAGAGCUGUGCUCUUGGGUGAGGCUUGAAGCCUCGUCAAGCUCGCUUAAAAUUCAGGUUUCUCAAAGGCGGUUCAGCGAUUCCAGAGCAGGCAUCGGGCUCCCCACGUGUGAGCGCGGUGCCCUGUGCCCGAUGCCACACUUGCUUCCUUGUGGAUCGAACCACCGAUGCCAGAGGUCGCAGGAUCUUAGAGGUCACCCGGUUAAUUUACUUUGUAAAUAGGGAAACCGAGGCACGGAGUGGCGGGGCGCCUCUCCCAAGGGCACUGAGCUGACCUGUGCGGGGCUGGUCCGAGGGCUCGGGGGACCGCUCCUGCCGUGCCAGGCGGGCGCUGGGGUCUACGGCACCUUCUCCCCCACGUCGGAGCGGGGGUUCACCUUGAGAGGAAAAGGUCCCGGGUUUCCCGUCUGACUUGCUCGCGUCUGAGAAUCUCUUCUCACCGGCUUGUCGAGAGAUGGCCUCAUGCCAUGCUGCGGGAUCCGAGGCCCGCGUGGCGGUCCCACUGUGCCACCGGCAUCAGCUCUGCUGGGCCCGGGAGAGACUUUGAUGCCAGGUGCUAUGGACUGUCCACAAUGCGGGAGCUCCCGGGCUCUGGUAUUGAACUUGGCCCAAGUUCCUAACGCACUGUGUACCAGUCAGAGCUCGACCGGAGACACAGAACCAGGAGCCUGUGGUGUGUGUGUGUCUGUGUGCGUGUGUGUGUCUAGAUUUGUCGCAAGGAGCAGGCUCACGUGACCGAGGGGGCUGGCGAGGCAAGCCUGAGGUUGUAGGAAUGGCUGUUAGGAAGGGUGCUGGCCAAAGCUGCCAAAGCUACAGGCGGGAGUCUUCCUUCUGCAGGGAAACCUCAGCUCUGCUCUUCAGACUUUCAACUGAUUGGAUGAGGCCCCCCCCAGAUAGCCCAGCAUCGUCUCCUUCCGUAAAGCCAGCCGAUGAUGAACUUUUAUCCCAUCCGUAAAAUACCUUCCCAGCAGCACCUAGGUUAGCGUCGGAAAGGGUAACUCGGGGACUGUAGGGGCACCACGAGGACACAGAAGGCUGACCCCUGCACGCUCUGCCCCUGCAGAAUGAGCCCCUUUAUACUGACCAGUCCUUGAAACUCGAGUUUGCCAACCCCCCCUCAGAGCUGAGCCACAAAAACAGUGACCUCACCAUGCUGCUGCUGACUUGUUGACAAGCAGGAAUUGGGACCCAGUCCCUACACGCUCCAUUUGAACCCACCGCGUCUCCUUUCAGUUUGCCAGCUCAGGAGGCCCUGUCCCUCAGGGCUUGGCCAGCAGUGAGCCAGGACCCGGAAAGGAGCCCAAGCCAUCAAACCCCAUAGAAGGGUGUGGCCUUGACUCUGGGGCAUGGGGUCGUUGCGUUUGGAUCGGCCCUGUCUUCAGGGCUACAGAAAACCCAACCCAUGCUUCUUUAAGCCUAAAGGACUGGGAUUUCUUUUGCACAGGACCCAGAGCCCCCGGGGCAGAUGGGGCUCAGGAUACCUGGGACAUUCCAGAAUGCUGUCAGGACUGUCUCCAUUUUCACUCCUGCUCUGUUCACCUGGUCCACCGCUCUCUUCCUCUGGAGCCUCCUGAACUCCCCGGGUUAUGAUUUAACCCCCCCUGGGAGAGGGUGUGUCAGCUCUUUCUGAACCCCCAAGUUCAAGACCCUGGGCAAGCAGCAGCGAGUGCCAUUUCUAGCUUGGCCAACCAUGACCGUGGGGGUGGUGGAGAGACGUCCUGCCUGGAAAAUCCACAGGGUGGUGUGGCCGGCAGACUGGGUGGCCACCCUGAGCCCUUCCCACCGGACAGUAUGGUGACCGUCCCCCAGUCCCCCAGGCGAGUGGGGGUGGGGGUGGGAGGAUGGGCCAGAUGGCUGCAGGCCUCAGCACCCCUGCCUGCCUGGCUGCCCGCUCCCCCAUAGCUCUGCACACGGCAUCCCACGCUCUGGAUCUUCCUUGAUUUAAACUUGUAUCUUAGAAAUGGACUUUUCUUGGGGCACCUGGGUGGCUCAGCCGGUUAAGCGUCCCGACUCUUGAUUCGGCUCAGGUCAUGAUCUCACAGUUCGUGAGUUUGAACCUGGAAUUGGGCUCCGUGACGGCAGUGCAGAGCCUGCUUGGGAUUCUCUCUCUCUCUCUCUCUCUCUCUCUCUCUGCCUCUCCCCUGCUCAUGCUCUGUCUCUGUCUCUCUCUUUCAAAAUCAAUAAAUAAACUUAAAAAAAAUGUGUUUUUCCUCUGUCCCAGGUCUUCAGGCCUCUUUCAUUUGCCAGCCUCGUGCUUCUCAAACUACCUGUGGCAAAGGACCUAUUUUUUGGUUUUAUUUCGCUUUUAAAGUCCAAUCUGUUACAGGACUAACAAUUUCGUAAAACGCAAUAACGCUGAACUGUUGGAAAAACGACCGUGCACCUAGAUGCCUUGGGAAGGGCAAGGUGUUAGCAGAGUUUGUGAACGCUGGCUCUCAGCCCCGUGCCCAGUGUGGGCCCAGAGCAGUCAGGUCUCCGCCUGUUCCUGAGCAUGGGCCCUAAAUGCCAGGUGAUUAACCGAGGAGUCCAGCGAAAUCUUCCCCAAGCCAAGCGCUUACCCGGCACUGUUUCAGCUCACGGAACUCUACAUUUAAUGUGGGAAAACAGGCAGUAAAUAAACGUGACAAAUGAGUACACAACGGCAGUUUGUUGGAAGGUGAUGUGUUCUUGCGGGAACAGUGGGGCGCGGGAGGGAAGGGGGGUUGAGCUGGUUGGGUUUUCCCCUUGGGAAGGGGGAUUGCAGUUUUAAACAGGGGAGUCUGGGUGACAAGUGAUGAUGUAAACCAACCAGAGAAGGCUGUGCAGGGCCGUCCCCAUCAGUGAACACAUUUGCGUUUCAAUAGGGACAUUCUCACGAUCAAAGGAGCAGGUGCACAGGCUGAGAAUCGAGGCCCCCGUUGACACGCGCUAUCUUUGGGGCAGGUGCAGGGGAGGAGCAGGGCGGGUCUGGAGGAAGGUAGCGGCAGACGGACCAGGGCAAGAGCAGAAGACGACCGAAAAGGCAGCCUCGAGGACGCCAGUCCUCACCGCCCGCCGAGCUCAAGAGGAGGGAGGGCCCGCCAACCCAGCGGGAGGCAGACCAGUCCGGUGACCUAAAGACGGAGCAGACGACCCGGAAGUCUCCCGUCUUGGUGCGGUCAGCGGGUUCUUCAGCAACCCGAAUGUUCCCAUGGGCAUUCCCACCACCACCGCCCUCCCCCCGGGACUCGGUGUUCCACCGGGAAAGAAAAGAACAGAAUUAAGGAAUGUGCCCAGAAGCCUGGAAAUAGUAUCAAGGAUGCCCAAGAGCUGCUUCGAAAUUAGAGAUUUUGUAGUUCGUUUUCGCUUUCGGGGCGAAAAAAGAUCCCACGAGAACCUGCGCGUUUAUUGUUCUGUUCGGCAAAAGAAAGAGUGGAGACGGGUGAUACCAGGUGUUUCUUGAGCCAACUCUGUUCCAAGGAUGUGCCAGGCGCUGGGGAUUCAAGAGCGAGCAAAACACGCCAGGGCUCUGUCCUCGUGAGCCCGUCUCCUCGCUGGGCCUCAGCCCUGCAGCCU